GAAAAUGAUGGAUUCAUAGCUACUGAUAUUGAACGCUCAUCACUUAUUUUAUGUGGUAAAGCGUUCUCAGAUUCAAAUACAACUAAAGAAGCACUAGCUGCCUUGUCUGGGCCUGUUAUAUUUGCAAGAGGAGGCCUUCCAUUAUCUGCAAGGCUUUUAGUGUCUGGUGAUUCUGUGGUUCUUUUAUUUACACCCAAAAGGACCUUUAAGAGUUGCAGAGAUCUGUUGGUGCCUUCAGAUGCAGGUGUAAUUCUUUCUUCUAAUGGUCUGGCCUUUUUGUAUCAAACUGGUGGAUCAAAUCUAUUCAAAUUGCCAGCUUCUGUAUUCCUUGCAUCUUCUGACAGUUCUGGUGUUAUCCCUUCUGUUUCAAAGCUCUCCCCUGGCCAGGCAGCUUAUCACUUCUUGACUGGUUAUCAGA